rnacentral:rRNA from 1 species
AAAAAAAAGACUCAGUUGCGUAGGUACUGAUUCUUCAUGCAGUGACGCUUAUGAGAAGCCUUUGUGGCCCCGCAAGGGGUACUCGCAACGACUAUAAAAAAAAGAUGGCGAGUAUUAAAUCGCAAGUCAGUUUUUAUCUGGCUACACUUUCGAAUUGCGGGGACAUCCUAAAGUCCACUUCUACCAACCAAGCAGGGAAACCUAGUUUGGGGCCUAUGUUAACAGCAUGGGUAUGGUAAAAAGGAAGUGGAAUGUACAAUGGACAAUCCGCAGCCAAGUCCCUAAGGCAUCCUUUGCUAUGGGAAAGGUUCACAGACUAAGUGGAAGUGGGGCUGAAUUUUCAGCUUAAGAUAUAGUCGGGCCCAUUAAGAAAUUAUUGGGGAGUCACCAGGAUUCGAACCGUUCCGUAGGUGAACCUGCGGAAGGAUCAUUACCAAAAACAAGCUCUUUGCUGGGCAACCAGCAAAGUUCUAUACCCUUUGUGAACCAAAAAAACUUACUGCUUCGGUAGCAGGCUGGUCUUAACAGGUCAGUCGUAAGCCUGCCGGUAGCAACCAACCAAACCCAUUGAACUAAUUAUGACCUGUCUGAAUUAAAUUUUCGAAUGAAAAUUAAAACUUUCAACAACGGAUCUCUUGGUUCUCGCAUCGAUGAAGAACGCAGCGAAACGCGAUAGUUAAUGUGAAUUGCAGAAUUCAGUGAAUCAUCGAGUCUUUGAACGCACAUUGCGCCCAUUGGUAUUCCGAUGGGCAUGUCUGUUUGAGCGUCAUUACCAAAUCUCAUUUCUUCGGUUUGUUUCGAAUGAAAUGGUUUUGGGUUGGGGUGUUGUAAAAUGCAACCUACGCCUUAAAACUGCACGCUCUGCGGGUUGCUUUGCCUGAACGAACAUGGUAAUUAAACAUCUGUUCCUGACCGGUAAAGUGUUAACACGCCUGAAUAAAAACCAAAUAAUUAAUGGUUUGACCUCAGAUCAGACAAGGAUACCCGCUCCGACUAGCUCUA